rnacentral:rRNA from 1 species
UACAGAGGGUGCGAGCGUUAAUCGGAAUUACUGGGCGUAAAGCGUGCGUAGACGGUUAUUUAAGUCGGGUGUGAAAGCCCCGGGCUCAACCUGGGAAUUGCAUUCGAGACUGAAUAGCUAGGGUACGGUAGAGGGAAGUGGAAUUUCCGGUGUAGCGGUGAAAUGCGUAGAUAUCGGAAGGAACAUCAGUGGCGAAGGCAGCCCCCUGGGCCAAUACUGACGCUCCAUGCACGAAAGCGUGGGGAGCAAACAGG